AGUGAACGCUGGCGGUAGGCCUAACACAUGCAAGUCGAACGGCAGCACAGAGGAGCUUGCUCCUUGAGUGGCGAGUGGCGGACGGGUGAGGAAUACAUCGGAAUCUACUCUGUCGUGGGGGAUAACGUAGGGAAACUUACGCUAAUACCGCAUACGACCUACGGGUGAAAGCAGGGGAUCUUCGGACCUUGCGCGAUUGAAUGAGCCGAUGUCGGAUUAGCUAGUUGGCGGGGCAAAGGCCCACCAAGGCGACGAUCCGUAGCUGGUCUGAGAGGAUGAUCAGCCACACUGGAACUGAGACACGGUCCAGACUCCUACGGGAGGCAGCAGUGGGGAAUAUUGGACAAUGGGCGCAAGCCUGAUCCAGCCAUGCCGCGUGGGUGAAGAAGGCCUUCGGGUUGUAAAGCCCUUUUGUUGGGAAAGAAAUCCAUCUGGUUAAUACCCGGGUGGGAUGACGGUACCCAAAGAAUAAGCACCGGCUAACUUCGUGCCAGCCGCCGCGGUAA
rnacentral:rRNA from 1 species